AUUUUUCAGGGCCACAUGCCAACAGUUCAGCUCUUAAAAAAGUAUGACCUUAUGCAGUUUGCUGAAGUAACAAAGUCUGUGAGUGAAGGCAAUCUCCUCGCCGAACGAUGCUUCCACAAAGCAUGAGACCUUCUUUAUUCGAUGUGGAAUCUUUCUCAUCCUGGAGAAGCUGAAAAUCAUCACGUACAGAAAUCUCUUCAAGAAAGUAUAUUUACUGCUCAAAACCCAUCAGCUCUCUCUAGAUGCCUUUCUGAUUGCCCUGAAGUUCAUGCAAGUGGAUGAUGUUGACAUUGAUGAAGUCCAGUGCAUUUUAGCCAACCUUAUAUAUAUGGGUCACAUUAAAGGCUACAUAUCCCAUCAGCACCAGAAGCUUGUGGUCAGUAAGCAGAACCCAUUUCCUCCACUGUCAACAGUGUGUUGAGUUUUGCAUCUUAGCCAUUCAGACUCUUCUCAGAGACUCAGCCUGCCCAGUGCUGAUCACAGCUCCUGGUCACCCCAGAAACACUGUAAGUGACCUGGUUCAUGUCCAGGGCUGGAAUACCAGGAACUGUUUGUGGCUCCUUUCCCAGAAUGACCAAGGCUGCCAGUGUUACAAAGUGCAUUGGAAUGAAAUGCUAACUUUGAAAUGGUAGUGUCCACAGGCUUUUCUGGAUCACUCCAAGUAUUCCAUGAAGAGAUAAAGCAAAGCAUUCCAAA